AUUGUACUCCCUCCGUCCGGAAAUACUUGUCAUCAAAUGGAUAAAAAGGGAUGUAUUUAGAUGCGUUUUAGUUCUAGAUACAUCUCCUUUUAUCCAUUUUGAUGACAAGUAUUUUCGGACGGAGGAAGUAGUAA
rfam:Triticum aestivum genome assembly, contig: Triticum_aestivum_CS42_TGACv1_scaffold_288612_4AL